GGACCCGCACAAGUAGUGGAGCAUGUGGUUUAAUUCGAAGAUACGCGCAGAACCUUACCAACACUUGACAUGUUUGUCGCGACUUUAAGAGAUUAAAGUCUUCGGUUCGGCCGGACAAAACACAGGUGCUGCAUGGCUGUCGUCAGCUCGUGUCGUGAGAUGUUGGGUUAAGUCCCGCAACGAGCGCAACCCUCACUUUUAGUUGCCAUCAUUUAGUUGGGCACUCUGAAAGAACUGCCAGUGAUAAGCUGGAGGAAGGUGGGGAUGACGUCAAGUCCUCAUGGCCCUUACGUGUUGGGCUACACACGUGCUACAAUGGUCACCACAAUGGGUCGCGAACCCGCGAGGGGGAGCUAAUCUCAAAAAAGUGGCCUCAGUACGGAUAGGAGUCUGCAACUCGACUCCUUGAAGUCGGAAUCGCUAGUAAUCGC
rnacentral:rRNA from 1 species